AAUAACCAGAUAUAACACUUGGACUCGCUGUGAGAUUUGUAAUUUCCCUGACAUCCCCACCACCGGGAGCCCAGGUAUCAUAUACACCUCCGAAAUACAAAGCUUUGGACACUAGUAGAAGGGCACCAAUACCCAGCAAGAUCAGGUGAAUACCUAAAAUAGUGGUCAUUUUGUUCCGAUUUCUCCA
rfam:Selaginella moellendorffii plastid, complete genome.